GAGAGUAAGGAGUUGAGUUCUGUGAGGGGCAAUGCUUAUUUUUCACGAGUUUGGGUUGAAGGCAGUACAUUUGUAGGGUGUGGUAGGGGAAGGUGAUUCGGAGAAAACUCCAGGAACAAACUUGCCAACGAAGUUUUCAAGCUGACAAGCAGUUGUCUAUUUCUCUAGAUUAAAGAGUGGCUAAAGAAUGACAAUUCACCGUGAUGUUACGUAUGGCAACUUUCAGCUUUGAUCAUUCCUUCUUCCUUUUUGGACCCUCUUCAUGGGGAGCACAUACUUCCUUGAAGCGUGUUCCCAAAAACUGGAUGUACCACUUCUCAGCUGAAGCCUUCCUAGUGCUGAGUGUGUUUUGCAGGAUGUACUCACCUUGGAGAGUCGUAUGAUGUUGUAUACCUGCACAACAGUGUUUGUGUUCAGGAAGCUUAUGGUCAAAAGGGAUAGGGAGUUCCACUUUGGGAACUGCUACAUGAUCAUCUUUUUUUCAGUCUGGGUUUGUGGAACUGGCUGCACUUUGGCUGGACACAGUUGAAUACUGCUCUGCUCGGACUGGUUCUUGAAUUGGUGGAGGCCAUUCUGACCUGCAAAAUGUACUUUGCCAUUAAACUGUGUCCUUCAAUUGC